UACAGAGGUGGCAAGCGUUGUUCGGAAUUACUGGGCGUAAAGGGCGCGUAGGCGGUCUUUUAAGUCUUGUGUGAAAUCCCUUGGCUCAACCGAGGAACUGCACGGGAUACUGGAAGACUUGAGUUCGGGAGAGGGAAGCGGAAUUCCGGGUGUAGCGGUGAAAUGCGUAGAUAUCCGGAGGAACACCGGUGGCGAAGGCGGCUUCCUGGACCGACACUGACGCUGAGGCGCGAAAGCUAGGGGAGCAAACGGG
rnacentral:rRNA from 1 species